CGGCAGCGUGCGUAGGAGCCGUGUUAGGGUCGGCUAGGCGCGUCUGUGCGGUCCCGGGCCGCUGGGUGCUGCGACGCGCUGUUGCGGAGGGGCCGGCCUAUGCGGGCCCGCCAGCGGCUGUGUGUCCGUCUGUGUCCGGGCUGCGUGUGAGGGUGUGUCCCUGCGUGCCCGGUUUAUCAGUGGCUGACUUUGCCGCAGGAGGAGGGCGAGUGUCUGAAAGUCCUUCGGUGGAAGGAGCCUGAGCCUUCGUCUUGCGUGUGGCGCCUCGCCUGGAGGUGGGCGCGCGCCGGCGCCGGGGCCCGUUUGCGGAGUGCGAUAAUGGCGCUGCGCGGGCGGCGUUUUCUAGGGUCUCUGAUCUACGGCUGUGAAUCUCCCCUGCUGCUCCCUCCUUUCCCCCAAUAGCCUUAGAGAAUCCCUGAAAAAGUGAUCUUUGGAGAGAAGACGGGAGUUGCAGUCUCAGAGUGAAGGUUCCCAGCACCAAGAUUCUCCAGCGUGGCGGACUUGGUCUUGUAAUGAGAAUUCACAAGUGUUUCUCCGUGUGACCUACAGAGAAGACAGCGGGAGCAGACUCCGCUCAAGGCCACGCCGGCUUACUCAAGGAGGGCUCGUCGCGGAGUCAGAGAAACCUCGGUUCUACGCCGGGCUCCUUCACCCACAAAGCGCGUGACUUUGGAUGUUACCUUAACCUCUUUGUUUCCAUCAUCUGUAAAAUGGGGGAAAAUACUUAACAUUGCACUUUCCUUUUAUGGUUUUCUUUUUUGAGAAUCAAAUGAGAUAAUGAUAUAUACAAAGUUCUUACCUAGUUAUUAGUAUUAAUGUCAUUAUUGCUAUUAGAAUUAUUAAGGUGAUUUAAACAAUAAAUCUUUGAGCAUC